CUACAAAGCACCAACAUCACCUGGAUUCAACAUGCUCUCACUGCAUCAGGCUCUAUCUUCUCUACUGCUUCUCUCCACUCUAACAGCAAUCAGCUGUGAAGAACUCACACCGGUCCACAAUGAAGAGUUCAGUGCAGAAGGCAGCUCUGUUACUCUGUCCUAUAACUCCUCCAAAGUGAACCCAGGGGAUUAUUUCUUCUGGUAUCGACAGAAUCCAGGACAAGCUCCAGAGUUCCUCCUCUCACACUCUGCUUCAGGACAAGAAGCUGCUCCAACCUCUGGACUGAAGAUCCAAGUGGAGCAGAACCAAAUCCACAUGAUCAUCUCCUCUGCUGCAGUGACAGACUCUGCUGUGUACUACUGUGCUGUGAAGCCCACAGUGACAGAAAACUACACAACUCUGUACAAAAACCUGUGGAGCAAAGACACAACUCCUCAUCCUCCACUAGAGGGAGUCACUCACUGUUACUCUCACAACCUGAGCCACUGCACCAACCUCACAUCAGGUGAACUGAUUUGGUCCAAGAUGUUACGACACAUACACCAAACCAGUUUUCAGCAGAACCUCCACAGACUCCACAGAUUUUAGUUAAAGCCUCAAAUACCGAGUGUCUUCAUCCUCCCAUCACUCAGCAGCCUCACAGGAAGCAGCGGGAGAGAAGCUCACAAAUGACAAGUUCAGUGGAAAAAGACGAUUGAGAUCAAGUUAAUUAAAUGAGAUUCAACUGAGAAAACUUGAACAGCAACAUGUGUAGGAAAUGUAAAACCAACUGGUCCAAUGUUUCAGGAUCUCAGAGAAUUUGGAAUCAUUUGAAUAUGAACGUUGAUGCUGUCAUGUGGCUUUUCAGACAAUAUCUUACAAGACACUUUAUUGUUCAGAAAUGUGUCACAAGUCCAAGAAAGAAACAGAAAACUGAUCCAAUGACAGGUUUGUGUGUUUGAGCUGAAAGCUGCAGAAUAAAGCGACGUGUGGUUUAGGUGUUGGUAACAAGCAGUGAUAUGAGAGGACGCACAGAGAGGGAGGAGCAACACUGUCAAAGAGCAGAACAGAAAAGACCUCCUGCUGUGCUGCAUUCAAUAUCUACAGCAGACCUCAGAUAGUGUCUGUAAGAUGUUCCCUCUACGUCAUGCUGGAGUCUGGCCUUUGUUUCUCUUCAUCCUGAAAGGUGUCAGCUGUGAUGAACUGACUCCAGACCAGACUGCAGAGUUCAGUGUAGAAGGCAGCACUGUUACUCUGUCCUACAAGUUCUCCAGGACAAUAACUGGUAAUGAUUAUUUCUUCUGGUAUCGACAGAAUCCAGGACAAGCUCCAGAGUUCCUCCUCUCACACUCUGCUUCAGGACAAAUACUAGCUGCUCCAACCUCUGGACUGAAGAUCCAAGUGGAGCAGAACCAAAUCCACAUGAUCA